AUGGUGCUGAUGGGUCCCUUCCAACCCAGCACAUCCCGUGACUCUGUGAAAUGGCAACACCAACACAAACCCGAAGCACCAGGGCACGGCCCGGCCGCUGCUGUCCCCACAAGCCCUGGGCUGUGGAGCCACAAGCCAGCAGGAGCACGCGGCGCGCGUGGGCCGCUCCUGUGCCCGUCCGCCCCUCACAGCUCAGGGGAUUGCUCUUGUGUUUGGCAGCAGAGGUCCUUCUCACCAGGGUUAAGUCUUUACACUACUUCCAAGCAAAGCAGCCAAGAAAAAGAAGAAACAAAUGCUACUACUACUGAGCACAGAGGCCUCCUUUGCAAGAAAUGUGAUUUACGGAAUGAAGUUCCUGGCAUGUCUGCCGCGGGCUGUCACAACUUGUGCCUAAAAUCCAGGGCUGAAAUAUGAUCCCUGCUCCUUCCAAGAUGCAUUGUGGCUUCUAGCAAGUUCUUCUGGAAGCACAGGCAGCCCUUUGCUCAGGAGCUGGGCUCCUCCUGUGUUGCCUCUCUGAGAACUCUUUGGGGGUUAAGAACCCUCCUAAUUCCCUACGAAGCCAGUGUUGGUGCUUUGCUGAAAGCUCUGGAAACUUUUCUACGUAGUUUGGAGAACUGAUGCACUUGGAGAGACACAGAGCAAAGCUUGUCCUGGUAUCCAGAGGAGGCUUUGUGUUUAUCCUGUCUUUGGCUCCCCAUAUUUGUGCAUCAGAAACCCAAUUGCCAUGAACUGAACCAUGGUGGAGACCUCUUCCCAUAAGUUCACAAAAUGGCAAUGAAGCAACAGCAGCUUGGGAGCUCUCUGGCCUUUGCUGGCCCUGUUGAAGUUGAAGGUAUUUUCAUUCCCUUUCUGCAGUCCUUUGGGUGUUCCUUUUCCUCCACAUGAAGGAAAUGCUUUUUCACCAUUAAGCCUUUCCUCAGCUGCGUUUCAAGCCCAGAAAACAUUUUAACUCUAGCAAAUUUUACUUCCUCAUCAUUCUCCUGCUGUCUUCGAAGCCAGUGGGACAGCAGCAUUUUUACCACCAUGAUCUGCCUCAACUUGGCAGCAACAGAAACCCCACCACUGUAAGGCCCCUUUUUGCCAGCCUUUUCCCAGCCCUUGCCCACGGCUGAUCCCAUGGGAGACAUCCCCCUCUGGGAGUGGAACUGCUGAGGGUGGAGGUCACCAGCUCCUGCUGGACUUCAUUAGUGAAAACACACUGAUUUUGGAUAAAACCUGUGAUUUUGGAUAAAACCCAGCAUAUCAGUUAUACAGUGGAGUAGCUAAUGUGCAUUAUCUGCUGAUGAGCAGGUACUUCCUAAGAGUAGGAACAAACAAACAGACAAAACUUUCUGCAAAACAAAAGAACCAACAGAACGAGUCAAACCAAGCCUGCCUGACCGUUGGCUCUGUGUUUGCUUCAGCAGGUUCUGGCUCUGGUCCCACUUGAGCCACAGAGUUUUGAAAUCCAUGCGUUUCUUCCUUCUCAUCUUUCAGCUUUGCAGUAGACUUUUUUCCCCCCACAAACGUCUCCAAGGCCGUGUGGGAUGUGGUCCAGCUCCCAUUAAGGUCAGUGGGAGUGCUGCCACUGCUUCCCUGUGGGUCUCAGCCCUAUCCCAUUGUAUUACAUUUCUAACUGCAAUUGGAUACAGAUUAUUUCAAUUUUUUUUCCUCUCCCAGUGCCCACAAUGGGCAAAGUAUUUUCCAAACAGAAGAGGUCCCACUGCAUGUCCCUAAAUCUCUGGAGGUACUGGAAAAAUUCUCCUAAUUAAAUACAUUUGACAUGCAAGAUCAUAACUGUUCUCUAAUAAUUUUUUUAAAGACUUCUCUCUCAUGUAGCUUUCCUUAACUGUACAAUAGCAGGGAUUAAAUCCUGAUUCUGCUGAAGUUCAUGGGAGUUUUUCCAAUUAGCUUUGUUGGAGCCAUAUUGUCUUGCUUCAUCUCCAUCUUUAACACUACUGAAAAUAUUCUGACAGGAACCAUCACAAUAAUGUCUCGUUUGGGUGAUGGGGUUACUCUUCAGAAAAAAUUAAAAAAAAUUAAAAAAAAAUUGAGUUUUCCCCAAAGAGCAAACCAAUAAAUAGUAAAAAUGUUAGUUACA
ensembl:lncRNA